rnacentral:rRNA from 1 species
UUGCUCUCGGGUGACGAGUGGCGGACGGGUGAGUAAUGUCUGGGAAACUGCCUGAUGGAGGGGGAUAACUACUGGAAACGGUAGCUAAUACCGCAUAACGUCGCAAGACCAAAGAGGGGGACCUUCGGGCCUCUUGCCAUCAGAUGUGCCCAGAUGGGAUUAGCUAGUAGGUGGGGUAACGGCUCACCUAGGCGACGAUCCCUAGCUGGUCUGAGAGGAUGACCAGCCACACUGGAACUGAGACACGGUCCAGACUCCUACGGGAGGCAGCAGUGGGGAAUAUUGCACAAUGGGCGCAAGCCUGAUGCAGCCAUGCCGCGUGUAUGAAGAAGGCCUUCGGGUUGUAAAGUACUUUCAGCGGGGAGGAAGGGAGUAAGGUUAAUAACCUUGCUCAUUGACGUUACCCGCAGAAGAAGCACCGGCUAACUCCGUGCCAGCAGCCGCGGUAAUACGGAGGGUGCAAGCGUUAAUCGGAAUUACUGGGCGUAAAGCGCACGCAGGCGGUCU